GACGAACGCUGGCGGCGUGCUUAACACAUGCAAGUCGAACGGAAAGGCCCUGCUUUUGUGGGGUGCUCGAGUGGCGAACGGGUGAGUAACACGUGUGUAACCUGCCCUUGACUUUGGGAUAACUUCAGGAAACUGGGGCUAAUACCGGAUAGGAGCUCCGGCUGCAUGGUGGGGGUUGGAAAGUUUCGGCGGUUGGGGAUGGACUCGCGGCUUAUCAGCUUGUUGGUGGGGUAGUGGCUUACCAAGGCUUUGACGGGUAGCCGGCCUGAGAGGGUGACCGGCCACAUUGGCACUGAGAUACGGCCCAGACUCCUACGGGAGGCAGCAGUGGGGAAUAUUGCACAAUGGGCGGAAGCCUGAUGCAGCAACGCCGCGUGCGGGAUGACGGCCUUCGGGUUGUAAACCGCUUUCGCCUGUGACGAAGCGUGAGUGACGGUAAUGGGUAAAGAAGCACCGGCUAACUACGUG
rnacentral:rRNA from 1 species